CUAUACUAAAAGGAGGAUAUAUUGAUCAGAGAGGAUGUCCACGUCAGAUCAAAAAAACAGCCAAUCAUAUGCUUUUAACUUACCACGUCAGCUCAUUCAUUUUCUUAACACAAUCUUAUCGUCUCUUCCUCAAAUAUUUGUCGGUGACUUUUCCUUUGCACUCUACGGCGUCGAAGUCUUCGCCGAUCGACCUCCCCACUAUCAAGAUCAAUAACUGUAUCAUUCAAAACAAUACCCUCUUCAACUUCUUCCCUUUCCCCAACCUAGCUAUAUAUACAGUGAGAUUCAAGACCAAAGUUCCUCACAUCCUUAUCCCCGAAAGCACCAGCGUGAUUGAACUCCAAGGGUAAAGCACGACCAUGAUAUCAGGUCAGAUCAACCAUUGGGAUGAAGUUGUUGUCACAAACGGCCUUCAGAUGGAUGAGGACGAGGAUGAUAAUGAGGAAGAUGACCAAGAAGUAGAUCACCGAAAUAGAGCAAAUAAAAACGGUAUAUGUGGUUAAACGACUGCUCUCUGUUUAUAUUAUAAAACUAAAACCACGAAAUCUGAUUUUGGUGGUUUCACUUUUUUUUAUUCUUUUAUUGCAGUCAUCAGCUGGGAUGUUGGGUUAGUGUAUGCGGAACCACGAAGGUUUGUUAAUAUUAGUUUCUGACUUUAUAUUACAAAAUUUAUAUUUUCUUUUCCUUGACACAAAGAGAUUAAGAAUUCAAGGUUAACAUCAACGAUUUAUAGUUGCAACUUGACAGACAGUGACUGAAGAAGACUGGACUAUGCAUGACUUCUUGGCCCAAUCAUCCUGCAAUGAUCAAGGUGAGAUGCUCAGAGGUGUCAACUGUUUCAUUUUGUUAUAAGUGUGGUGUAUAUACACUACUCCCAAACGUAUCUGAUUAUUUUUCAUGUUUGCUCAUUCCAAAAGGUAUUCCUUGGAAACAACAGUGUUUGCGAUGUAGAAAACCAUGAGCUGACGAAGGCUGGUUUAUCUUCUUGUGAGACCUGGAUUUGACUAUCAUAAGAAGGCUGGCGCCAUGAAUUCGUUGGUAAAUAAUUAUGCUUAAUCCUUGAUUGUAUAUUUUAAACUGAUAUAUAAUGGUCUCUCGCAAACUUAUUGAUUCUUUCGUCUUUUCAUGUUCUAUAUAUUCAAUUGAAGAUAGGAGUCUCGGGGUUUCUAUCAAUUGUGCCUUAUUCUUUUUAAUGUCGACUGUGAUCACUACAUCUACAAUAGCAAAAAUCUAAGAGAAGCAAUGUGUUUCGUGGUGGCUUCUAAGUUGGGAAAGAAGAUUUGUUAUGAUCACUACCCUCAAAGAUUCGAUGGGAUCGGUAGACACGACAGAUACAGUAAUGGCAGCGUUGUAUUUUACGAUGUAAGUACACAAAACUUCGACCACCAGAUUCACCACCUUCCUUAUCUUAGGUCAUAACCUAAGUCUUACUAAUCUUAAUUGCUUCUUUAUCUUGAGCCAUAACCUAUGUCUUAGUAAUCUUAAUUGCUUCCUUAUCUUGAGUCAUAACCUAUGUCUUAGUAAUCUUACACUCUCACUACGGCACUGUUUUUUUUUUUGCUACCAUUAGCUUCAUUGAAAGAAAAAAGAACAAUAGCAUCGGUGUUGGAGCUUCGCACGAGCCACUGAAGUGAUUUUUUUAACGGACCCAAAUACGUUUUUAUCGGCCAGCUUACCUUAAUUACUAAUAUACUAUUUGAAGCACUUGAAAGUUGAGCCUACAGAUCCAAAACAAGGCUUUCUUGAUUUUUGUUAUCCCCGACGACAAAGAGACAUUUCUUACGUAAGAAAUGUACUAUGUAUUAUCUCUAGACAUUUCUGCAAUAUUUUUUGAGGAGGUAGGAAAUGGGGAACCUGAGUUUAGAAACUCGGACUUACAGCUCGGGCUUGCAUCUCUUGAAAAAGUGUCUCUGAACAUUGCUAGACGGGCUGAACAAGAAAGUGCAACCGCUGCAAGAACCAUGGUCACCCUCGAUUUAGAAUCUGGCAUCUCACUUAAAGGGAAUUCCAAUAGCAAAUAUAAAUAUAAAAUGCAACGCAGAUGAAGAAUUCCACUAAAUUAUAUGAUCAUUGUAGAUAUAGAUAUGGAUACCAGUGGGAGCCAGAUUUGGUGGGAUCCUUGACACCAAACGCAGAAAAUUCAAUUGGAGUAAUGGUUGAAGUUUACUGGCAACAAGAUGGGUCGGGGUAGAUGGCAAUAGUCCACAUCUUCACAUUGAGUUUUGUGAUUGUUCAAUGUGACAAAAAUAUCGCAAUGUAUACAUGUUACAGACACAAGUUCGUGACUGACCUUUUUAUGAUAGGUUUUGUCUUUCUCAACAGUUAUAUGAACCUAUAGAAGAUGUCAAAUAAUCUAACAAAAUAACUUUAACUCUUUAAUUUAGUAGAUAAGUAAAUAAGCUGCAUGAUUUUUUUAUGUUUUUCUGCCCGGCAGUAUCAUGUUUUGUUGAAAUAUAUACUUUAUCUUUUUGUAUUUAAAUUGAUGUUACAAGUUUUUCACAUAUAAUAAAUAAUUUUAAUUGUUUUGGGUUUUGUUUUACUAUUUAUUUAAAAAUAAAAAAUAAAACGCAUUAAUAAAAAUCAAUAUAAAGAAAUAUGCAUCAUCAUUUUAAAAAAUACAAAAGAGUAGUAUUUUCCUUCAUAGAUCUCUAAUGAUUUUAAGUAUAUAUAAUUAAAGGGACAAAAGCUACUAAAAAGACAUUCUAAUAUUAGUCAAAAAAUUUUAUAAUAUUAAUAAUUUUAUUUAAUAUUUUUGCAACUGACUAUUUUCGAUCAUAUUAUUUAAAAAUCAGAGAUAAAUGAUUAAAGGCAAGUUAUGUAAUUUCAUAAUGACCAACACAAGGAAAUUUUGGAGGAAAUUGAUGAAAUUUCAUUUUAUGGUAUUUAUAAAUGACAAAAUACAUGCAAAUUUUUAGAUAAUCAUAAAGUAUGAAUGAUCGGAAAAACCAAUUCCUCGAUAACAAACAUUAACAGGAAAUAACUAAAG